UAUGAGCCUAACACUAUUGAUCUUGCGGAUCCCAGUGAGUUAGAGUAUUGGUUUAGUGUCCUGUCAGAGCAUUUGCCCGACCUUGUUGAUAAGGCGGUAGCAAGUGAAGGCAGAACUGAAGAUGCUAAAAGAAGGGGUGACGCUUUUGCUCGUGCAUUUGCUGCGCACUUGGCAAGGUAGUUUUAUGAU